rnacentral:rRNA from 1 species
AUUGAACGCUGGCGGCAGGCCUAACACAUGCAAGUCGAGCGAGCGGCGGACGGGUGAGUAAUGUAUGGGGACUGCCCGAUAGAGGGGGAUAACUACUGGAAACGGUGGCUAAUACCGGAUAGUGUGGGAUGGACCGCGGCCUAUCAGCUUGUUGGUUGGGUAAGGGCUCACCUAGGCGACGAUCUCUAGCUGGUCUGAGAGGAUGAUCAGCCACACUGGGACUGAGACACGGCCCAGACUCCUACGGAGGCAGCAGUGGGGAAUAUUGCACAAUGGGCGCAAGCCUGAUGCAGCCAUGCCGCGUGUAUGAAGAAGGCCUUAGGGUUGUAAAGUACUUUCAGCGGGGAGGCGUUACCCGCAGAAGAAGCACCGGCUAACUCCGUGCCAGCAGCCGCGGUAAUUC